UACAGAGGGUGCAAGCGUUGCUCGGAAUUAUUGGGCGUAAAGGGUUGGUAGGUGGUCUUGUUUGUCUAAGGUGAAAUCCCAUGGCUUAACUGUGGAAGUGCCUUAGAAACGGCAAGACUAGAGUCCUAGAGGGGUUUGUGGAAUUCCCGGUGUAGCGGUGAAAUGCGUAGAGAUCGGGAGGAACACCAGCGGCGAAGGCGGCAAACUGGAUAGGCACUGACACUCAACAACGAAAGCGUGGGGAGCAAACAGG
rnacentral:rRNA from 1 species